AAAGGUAAGCUACUAAGAGCGAAUGGUGGAUGCCUUGACUGGUAAAGGCGAUGAAGGACGUACUAGACUGCGAUAAGCUACGGGGAGCUGUCAAGAAGCUUUGAUCCGUAGAUUUCCGAAUGGGGCAACCCAAUGUAUAGAGAUAUACAUUACCUAUAUAGGAGCGAACGAGGGGAAUUGAAACAUCUUAGUACCCUCAGGAAAAGAAAUCAAUAGAGAUUGCGUCAGUAGCGGCGAGCGAAAGCGCAAGAGGGCAAACCCAGUGCUUGCACUGGGGGUUGUAGGACUGCAAUGUGCAAGAGGUAAGUUUAGCAGAACAUUCUGGAAAGUAUAACCAUAGAGGGUGAUAGUCCCGUAUGCGAAAAACAAACCUUAGCUAGCAGUAUCCUGAGUAGGGCGGGACACGAGGAAUCCUGUCUGAAUCCGGGUCGACCACGAUCCAACCCUAAAUACUAAUACCAGAUCGAUAGUGCACAAGUACCGUGAGGGAAAGGUGAAAAGAACUGAGGUGAUCAGAGUG
rnacentral:rRNA from 1 species